AGGAACAGGGGAGGAGGGCGUUCAGGGGGUUCCUAAGCUGCCUCAGUUUGUCCCCUGCUGCAGCAAUGAGAGCAGAAUCAGCAGCACCCACUUCUUUGCUUUUCGGGGCAGCGGCUCUUUGUGCUACUGCUUUGAUGCUCUUAGGCAAACUUAGAGGGUGACAGCCUAGCCUUGCUCCCCUCCUCUGCUGUAACUGCUUUCUGAGCUGGGGUUUGUGUGCAGCACCAGGGGGCUCACCAAAUCUAAUUGUAUCUUCUUUUCUCUCCCUUCCCAUGUGCAUCGAUGGAAGCUUCUUGAAGUGCAUGGACAGGAAAGGAGAAAUGUUACAUCAAACAGCCAGGAACAGGUGGAUGGCCCUGGUAAUGGAACAGGAGCUAAUGAUGCACCUGUGGCUGACUCAGCCCCUGAAGAACAGGGAGCAGAGGAGGAGGACACUCAAAAUCCAGAUUCUCCUUCCUCCAGUGCACAGCAAGGAGUUGUUAUUAGGUGUCCAAUUUGCAUGGAAUUUUACUCAGAGGUAAGGAUCCACCUGUUGUUGUCCUGUCUGCUUUGUGGGAGGAGAAAGCCAGAAGGGGGGAGCUGCACAAGUCAGUUGGAUGAUGUGGGAUGCUGUGGGCAGCUGGCUGGAAGCACAGCCCUUGCUGUGAAGCUCCACAAGUCACUUCUUGGUGAAUGCAGAGGCAGAAGCCCUUGCCAAGAUGGCACUGGCAGAUCUGUGGGUCCCUCGUAAUUCUAAUUCUAGAUGCUCAAAAUAGAGCCUGGUGCCAGCUGAGCAGCAAAAUCAAAUUCUCUCCUCCCAAUAAAUGUUGUCGUUUUCUUUCUUCCAGUUUAUUCAACGUGGACGACAGCUUGUGGCAACCCAAUGUGGCCAUGUCUUCUGCAGUAGAUGCCUCCCUAUUGCUCUUGAGGCUUCUUACAUGUGCCCAAGCUGCAGAAUGGCACUCACACCAGAACGAUACCAUACCAUUUAUUUAUGAGUGCUAGAUGGAUCUUGGCCAAUAGGCAGCGUAGAAACUUGUUUAUGUAUAUAGUUCUUCCUCUAUAUAGUUUCAUUUUUGCUGAAUUCAAUUUAAGUAAAGUUUUGAUUGAUUUAAAUAUAGUCUGUCUGCUCUUCUGUCUGCACUGUGCUGGUAGAGAU